rnacentral:rRNA from 1 species
CCUACGGGGGCAGCAGUGGGGAAUUUUGGACAAUGGGCGCAAGCCUGAUCCAGCAAUGCCGCGUGAGUGAAGAAGGCCUUCGGGUUGUAAAGCUCUUUUGUCAGGGAAGAAACGGUGGGGGCUAAUAUCCUCCACUAAUGACGGUACCUGAAGAAUAAGCACCGGCUAACUACGUGCCAGCAGCCGCGGUAAUACGUAGGGUGCAAGCGUUAAUCGGAAUUACUGGGCGUAAAGCGUGCGCAGGCGGUUUUGAAGUCUGUCGUGAAAGCCCCGGGCUCAACCUGGGAAUUGCGAUGGAGACUGCAAGGCUUGAAUCUGGCAGAGGGGGGUAGAAUUCCACGUGUAGCAGUGAAAUGCGUAGAGAUGUGGAGGAACACCGAUGGCGAAGGCAGCCCCCUGGGUCAAGAUUGACGCUCAUGCACGAAAGCGUGGGGAGCAAACAGGAUUAGAUACCCUGGUAGUCCACGCCCUAAACGAUGUCUACUAGUUGUCGGGUUUUAAUUAACUUGGUAACGCAGCUAACGCGUGAAGUAGACCGCCUGGGGAGUACGGUCGCAAGAUUAAAACUCAAAGNUAAGUCGACGNGAGAGACGCGACGACGACGACGACGGAGGAGGAG